GCGGAGGAAAAGAAAAUAACAAUGAUUUCCCUAGUAACGGCGAGUGAAGAGGAAAGAGCUCAAAGUUGGAACCUGUUUGGCUUAGCUAAACCGGAUUGUAAACUGUAGAAGUGUUUUCCAGGCACGCCAGGUAAAAAAGUCCUUUGGAACAGGGCAUCAUAGAGGGUGAGAAUCCCGUCUUUGGCCUGAGCUGUUGCCUUUUGUGAUACAUUUUCAAAGAGUCAGGUUGUUUGGGAAUGCAGCCUAAAUUGGGUGGUAAAUCUCACCUAAAGCUAAAUAUUUGCGAGAGACCGAUAGCGAACAAGUACCGUGAGGGAAAGAUGAAAAGAACUUUGAAAAGAGAGUUAAACAGUAUGUGAAAUUGUUAAAAGGGAACCGUUUGGAGCCAGACUGGCUUGACUGUAAUCAAUCUAGGCUUCGGCCUGGAUGCACUUGCGGUCUAUGCCUGCCAACGACAGUUUUAUUUGGGGGAAAAAAUUAUUAGGAAUGUGGCCCUUCGGGGUGUUAUAGCCUUUUAAAAAAUACCCUGGAUUGGACUGAGGAACGCAGUGAAUGCCUUUAGGCAAGAUUGCUGAGUGCUUUCGCUAAUAAAUGCUAGAAUUUCUGCUUCGGGUGGUGCUAGUGUUUAAAGGCGGAACUCGCUUGGUAUAUUUUUUAUUCGCUUAGGUUGUUGGCUUA
rnacentral:rRNA from 1 species